rnacentral:rRNA from 1 species
CUGCUGCCUCCCGUAGGAGUCUGGGCCGUGUCUCAGUCCCAGUGUGGGGGGCCUUCCUCUCAGAACCCCUACGCAUCGUCGCCACGGUGGGCCGUCACCCCGCCGUCUAGCUAAUGCGCCGCAUGCCCAUCCGCCACCGGAUCGCUCCUUUGGCCACCGGAGGAUGCCCUCCGGUGGCGUCACGGGGUAUUAGGCCGCGUUUCCGCGGGUUAUCCCCCUGGUGGCGGCCAGGUUGCAUACGUGUUACUCACCCGUGCGCCGGUCGCCGGG